AACGAACGCUGGCGGCGUGCCUAACACAUGCAAGUCGUGCGAGAAAGUUCCUUCGGGAGCGAGUAAAGCGGCGCACGGGUGAGUAACACGUAGGUAACCUGCCCCAUAGUCUGGAACAACUAGAGGAAACUCUAGCUAAUGCCGGAUAAGACCACGAUCCCUUCGGGGGUUGCGGCCAAAGAUGGCCUCUACUUGUAAGCUAUCGCUGAGGGAUGGGCCUGCGGGCCAUUAGCUUGUUGGUGAGGUAACGGCUCACCAAGGCUGUGAUGGCUAGCUGGUCUGAGAGGAUGACCAGCCACACUGGGACUGAGACACGGCCCAGACUCCUACGGGUGGCAG
rnacentral:rRNA from 1 species